GACUGCGGAGGGAUCAUUACACAAAUAUGAAGGCGGGCUGGAACCUCUCGGGGUUACAGCCUUGCUGAAUUAUUCACCCUUGUCUUUUGCGUACUUCUUGUUUCCUUGGUGGGUUCGCCCACCACUAGGACAAACAUAAACCUUUUGUAAUUGCAAUCAGCGUCAGUAACAAAUUAAUAAUUACAACUUUCAACAACGGAUCUCUUGGUUCUGGCAUCGAUGAAGAACGCAGCGAAAUGCGAUAAGUAGUGUGAAUUGCAGAAUUCAGUGAAUCAUCGAAUCUUUGAACGCACAUUGCGCCCUUUGGUAUUCCAAAGGGCAUGCCUGUUCGAGCGUCAUUUGUACCCUCAAGCUUUGCUUGGUGUUGGGCGUCUUGUCUCUAGCUUUGCUGGAGACUCGCCUUAAAGUAAUUGGCAGCCGGCCUACUGGUUUCGGAGCGCAGCACAAGUCGCACUCUCUAUCAGCAAAGGUCUAGCAUCCAUUAAGCCUUUUUUUCAACUUUUGACCUCGGAUCAGGUAGGGAUACCCGCUGAACUUAAGCAUAUCAUAA
rnacentral:rRNA from 1 species